GAUGAACGCUAGCUACAGGCUUAACACAUGCAAGUCGAGGGACCGGCGCACGGGUGAGUAACACGUAUCAAACCUGCCCUUUACUCGGUGAUAGCCUUUCGAAAGAAAGAUUAAUACCCGAUAUAAAGGAUGGGGAUGCGUUCCAUUAGGUUGUUGGUGAGGUAACGGCUCACCAAGCCUUCGAUGGAUAGGGGUUAUGAGAGGAAGGAACACUGAAAUGGAACCGAGGCACGGUCUAAAAUGCGACGGGGCGGAGGAGUGAGGAACAUAGGUGAAUGGGGGCUAGUCCAACCCAGCCAAGUAGAGGGAAGAAGGAAUGCUUAUGGGUGGAAAACUGCUGGGAUAUAAGAGUAGGUAUCAUAUGAAGAAGGACCGGCUAACUCCGUGCCAGCAGCCGCGGUAAUAC
rnacentral:rRNA from 1 species